UAGCGUCUAACGCAAUACAAUACAACUUUCAGCAACGGAUCUCUUGGCUCUCGCAUCGAUGAAGAACGCAGCGAAAUGCGAUAAGUAAUGUGAAUUGCAGAAUUCAGUGAAUCAUCGAAUCUUUGAACGCACCUUGCGCCCUUUGGCUAUUCCGAAGGGCAUGCCUGUUUGAGUAUCAUGAACACCUCAACUCUCAUGGUCCGCCAUGAUGAGCUUGGACUCUGGAGGUCUUGCCGGCCUGGCGUCGGCUCCUCUCAAACGGAUCAGCUUGCCAGUGUUUGGUGGCAUCACGGGUGUGAUAACUAUCUACGCUUGUGGUUUUCCGCCAUGCAACCUUCAGCGAUGGAGGUUCGCUGGAGCUCACAGAUGUCUCUCCUUGGCGAGGACGGCUUUUGAACGUUUGAUCUCAAAUCAGGUAGGACUACCCGCUGAACUUAAGCAUAUCAAUAAGC
rnacentral:rRNA from 1 species